AAAAAAAUGAAAUCAAUUUGAUAUUUCAUUUACAAUGAAAAUUUGUAAAAUUACCACUUUUUUUUA
rnacentral:tRNA from 1 species